UGCCCUGGGGCUCCCACUCGACUGUGACCUGUCCUCAUGUGCGGCAGUGGCCCAUCCUGCGUCCUCUUCACCCCCAUGUCCAGCAUCUUCUUGCCAGCCCAGCCAGACGGGAGCUGGUAUUGCAGAUUGGAGCCUCGGUGCAAAUCUGGGCAGUGAAUGAAUGGGCUACUCUCCCCUCGGAGUGUAAGCCGGAGUGGGGACGACGAAGACCCGGCGACCCCAUGCAGACCCAUUUUCCAGAUGAGGCAGAGAGGUGAGCAAACCCAAGCACACAGGGAACCUGGCCCAGGCUGCGUAAUGGUAAGGGGCCCACAGGAACUCAACCGGGGAACCCUGGCUCCCAAAGAAGAGGCAGGCUUUUCUCUAACACCUGGAAGGACAGAAGAGGAAAAAAAAGCCAUCACUACUGAGCAUCUACUGUGUGCACAAGGCGGUGCACAGGACACUCACUGUGGCUCUGGACUCUACAUGAGAGUUCCAGGUGAUUUCAACAAAAGCCACACAAGUCUAUGGAGUGCUGCUUCGCUUUCUUGUCACAGCCCAGGGACACAUGUACCAGCAGUGGGCCUGGGGCUACACAGAGGGUCCUGUGGAAGGCUGGGGAGCCCGCUGGGACUGUUUCCCCCUCUGUGCGUAGGCCAGGCUGACUGCAGAGUGCCCUUGCAGACAGCUGCUGCCCUCUGGCCUCUCUGGGUCUCCUGGGGCCCAGGGGCCCAGGGCUGGCCCUUGUCUGGAGAUGGGAGGGAGGUGGCUGAGAUCCCAGCUGCUGGCCACUGGUUUUGCCCACCCCAAGGGCAUCUUUCACUUUCUCCUCAGAAUCCUUCCAGCGAGUGUCUUUUUCUACACUAAGUGAAUGCCCGUAUGCACAAAGCAGGGCUGCUGCGGGGGUGGAGGAGGCUGCAGGUGGGGCCCUGGCCCGGUGUCAGGCACCUAGCUGAUACCGCCUGUGGUGACCAUGCCCGAGGGCAGAGUGGGCCCCAACCCCAAUCAGGGGGUCCUCAGAGCCUUGGCAGACUCAGGACUCAUGGCCAGGUUUCCUGGGAACUGCCUGGAAACAGUCCUGGGCCAGGAGGGCAAGGGUCCCUGCUGGCUGCCAGCUUGAAGUUGGGAAGGGAGGUGGCCUCAUGCUGGUCCUAGUCUCAACCGUUUGCAUGAGGAGGCUGCCCUGCUUGUUCUUUUAAGUUCCCUUGCAAGACCUAGAAGUCUCCAGCUGUUUUGGGGCCUGGUUUAAACCAGAGCAUCAGAGGUUUUAGAGAACCUGAGAUCCUGUUUCCAGGGUUCAUGCUGGUAUGUGCCGGCCUGUUGUCACCUGACACUGUGACAGAGUGAAGCCAUCCCCACUCCCCUCAUCUCAGCAGCAGACCAUCCACACUGCAGCCGCUGGCUAUGCCUGUCCUUCGAGGUAGGGCUGUGAUGUCCCAUUCCAUCAGAACUGCAGGCUCCCAGUGGGUGCUACCUGCUCAGCAGGUGAGAGAUGCAGAACAGGAGCACAGGACCCUGCAGCGCCCUGCACCUGGCAGGGGCGGGGUCCUUUCCGAAUAACUGGCAUGCACCUGACCUGCCCCACUGACCUCCUGCAGACCUGGGUGGGAUGG
rnacentral:lncRNA from 1 species